GAUGAACGCUAGCGGCAGGCCUAAUACAUGCAAGUCGAGGGGUAUAAGGAGCUUGCUUCUUUGAGACCGGCGCACGGGUGCGUAACGCGUAUGCAACCUACCUUAAUCAGGGGGAUAGCCCGGAGAAAUUCGGAUUAACACCGCAUAAAAUCACAGUAUUGCAUAAUACAAUGAUCAAAUAUUUAUAGGAUUAAGAUGGGCAUGCGUGUCAUUAGCUAGUUGGUAAGGUAACGGCUUACCAAGGCGACGAUGACUAGGGGAUCUGAGAGGAUUACCCCCCACACUGGUACAGAGACACGGACCAGACUCCUACGGGAGGCAGCAGAAAGGAAUAUUGGUCAAUGGACGAAAGUCUGAACCAGCCAUGCCGCGUGCAGGAUGACUGCCCUAUGGGUUGUAAACUGCUUUUAUAUAGGAAUAAAUGUACUUACGUGUAAGUAUUUGAAUGUACUAUAGGAAUAAGGAUCGGCUAACUCCGUGCCAGCCGCCGCGGUAA
rnacentral:rRNA from 1 species